UAACAGAAAAGGCUUGCAGGGCGGUCGGCAUUCCUCCAAAGGGAGGUGAUGCCAUGGAAGAAGUAUACCAGACUUUGAUGCUGAUGAUUUCAUUUGCAACAUUGAUUGUGUUAAUACUUUCAUUCCAUAAACGGAAAUAGACCGCCUCUCUCAAAGGUUCGGUCUAUUCCGUUCUUUUGAAGCCGUCCGCUCUUUGAGCGGUUGUUACAUUGGAGUCAUGCGUCAACAUGGCUC
rnacentral:sRNA from 1 species